UUUUCCUCUGCCACUCACAAAGUGGCUGGGGUAUGUUGAAUUCAUAUCACAGCCAGCUUUGAUGAGCGGGACGGGGAAAUA